rnacentral:rRNA from 1 species
UACGAAGGGUGCGAGCGUUGUCCGGAAUUAUUGGGCGUAAAGGGCUCGUAGGCGGUUUGUCGCGUCGGGAGUGAAAACUCAGGGCUUAACCCUGAGCCUGCUUCCGAUACGGGCAGACUAGAGGUAUGCAGGGGAGAACGGAAUUCCUGGUGUAGCGGUGAAAUGCGCAGAUAUCAGGAGGAACACCGGUGGCGAAGGCGGUUCUCUGGGCAUUACCUGACGCUGAGGAGCGAAAGUGUGGGGAGCGAACAGG